rnacentral:rRNA from 1 species
UAGUAGGUUUUGAUCCUCGGCUCGAGACGACGCUGGCGGCGUGCCUAACGCAUGCAAGUUACGAACGGAACUUAAGUUUGAAGGAAUUCUUCGGAAGGACAUUGGUUAAGUUUUAGUUGGCGGACGGGUGAGUAACGCGUGAGUAACCUGCCUCCGAGAGGGGAAUAACAAUCUGAAAAGAUUGCUAAUACCGCAUAACAUAGCGAAGUCGCAUGGCAGCGCUAUCAAAGAUUUAUCGCUCGGAGAUGGACUCGCGUCCGACUUAGUUAGUUGGUGAGGUAACGGCUCACCAAGACCGCGAUCGGUAGCCGGACUGAGAGGUUGAACGGCCACAUUGGGACUGAGACACGGCCCAGACUCCUACGGGAGGCAGCAGUGGGGGAUAUUGCGCAAUGGGGGAAACCCUGACGCAGCAACGCCGCGUGAAGGAUGAAGGUUUUCGGAUUGUAAACUUCUUUUAUUAAGGACGAAAAAAUGACGGUACUUAAUGAAUAAGCUCCGGCUAACCACGUG